AUGUCUCCUGCCUCGCUCGGUCUUCCGCACUCCUCGGUUGAUCUUGAGCUGGAUGCAGCCGCUCCAAACAUAUUUGGACACGCUGUACGAGACAAGAAAAAGGCUUUGCCGCCGACGAUUUUUGAGUACGAUCUUACCUGCAACUCACACGGGUAUCAUCGUAAUUUAUAGUUGGGACAUUC
rfam:TPA: Aspergillus nidulans FGSC A4 chromosome V